AGCUAGUGACCUCCAGCACAGCUGUGUGCGGAGACUUUCUUUUCCGGGAAGCUGUCACGAGGCUGUCGCCGCUCGGACUGGAGAUUCUCCUAAAAAUUCGCCUCUGUUCCAAAAAGACUCCGCCGCAGGGCGGUGCGGCCGGAACUCACAUGCGGAACGCAGUCUAGCCGGCGUCCACAAAGCGACCGAGGCAUUUGGUCAAUGCUAUCUCGCCGUCCUCGUCGUUCCCAAACAGAAUAGAGAGCCGUCCGUUUUUCCAGAUUCACAGAAAGAGGGGCACAAGAUUUUUGUCUCGAAAAAUGUGAGGUGUUCAUACAGUGGACGCCCGGGGGAACGUCGCGCUCGAUUUCUUGCGCGCAGGCGACUCUCCACGAAUCUCUUCCCACAUCUGUAAAUUUCUCUGCGUUUUAAUCGUGUUUUCGACUUUGGGGUCUCCUCUCUAGCAUCUUCGGCAAUCUCGCGUUGCAACCGCCCAAGACUGACCACUUUUUGUGCGUCUUAUCCC
rnacentral:lncRNA from 1 species